rnacentral:rRNA from 1 species
UACGUAGGUGGCAAGCGUUGUCCGGAAUUACUGGGCGUAAAGCGUGCGCAGGCGGUUUGCUAAGACAGGUGUGAAAUCCCCGGGCUUAACCUGGGAACUGCGCUUGUAACUGGCAAGCUUGAGUGUGGCAGAGGGGGGUGGAAUUCCACGUGUAGCAGUGAAAUGCGUAGAGAUGUGGAGGAACACCGAUGGCGAAGGCAGCCUUCUGGGCCAAUACUGACGCUCAUGCACGAAAGCGUGGGGAGCAAACAGG